GGAGGGUUCGCCUAGUGGCCGAUGGCGGCGGUCUUGAAAACCGCUAGGGUCUCAAAGCCCUCAAGGGUUCGAAUCCCUUACCCUCUGCCA
rnacentral:tRNA from 1 species